rnacentral:lncRNA from 10 species
AGCUCCGAAGAUUUACCGCGGGCAGGAGGCCCCGCAAGACAGAUUCAGGAAUCCAGCAGCCAAAAACUGAAGCCGGCACUGAAAUUUCUGAAUAAAAAUAUCCCAGUGGGAGAGGGAGGGCCAUGUGGCUGUCUAGUGGCGCUCUGUGCUUGGUGCCAACUGCAUCUCUGAGGACUGACUGGCACAGAAGGUAAUUAUAUCAUUGCACGUUGUGCAGGGAAGCGCUUGGUGGAGAAUCUGUGUGAGCUGCUCAUGGUGGAUCUUCCCGUUGAGAACCUUCCAUUUCCCCCUGGUUGAAAUACAUUAGUUGCUAUGGAAACUGCGAUCCCCCCGGUGUGGAUGGAGCUGAAUGACACCUACAAUUGCAGAGCACGGUUGGCGUUGCCAGGGCUGGGAAAUGGGCGUCGUGGCUGGAGAGGGCACUGAAGGGCACAGAUGAGAAUAAUGACAGCACACAGCACGACCGUCAGGAACCGACGCAGCACCACUGGGUCAGAAGUUGUGGAAGAAGCCAUGGGUAACAGAAGCCCCCCAUGCCCUACACCACACAGAGGGGCGGGUCCCAUCAGAGGCCUAACCCCUGGAGGGCUCUCAUUUUCAAAACAUAAAAAAUGGAGCUAUAGCUGGUACUUGCAAAAAAAAAAAAAAAAAGAUGCAUUUUCAUUUUGAUAAAUACUAGAAUCAUUCUAUUUCGAAUGAGUAUUUUUGCCCUUCUGUAUGGGGUAUGAUGUCCCUCUUCCCACGUAUUUGAGCUCUUCAUGACGUAAGAGAGAGUUUAGCACGCAGCUCUGAAC